CAUGGAGGGUGAGAAUCCCGUUCAUGGUUAAUUCUAAGAUGCUCUAUGAUGCGUUUUCGAAGAGUCGAGUUGUUUGGGAUUGCAGCUCAAAAUGGGAGGUAAAUUUCUCCUAAGGCUAAAUAUUGGCGAGAGACCGAUAGCGAACAAGUACCGUGAGGGAAAGAUGAAAAGAACUUUGAAAAGAGAGUUAAACAGUACGUGAAAUUGUUGAAAGGGAAACGAUUGAAGUCAGUCGUACCAGCGGGAAAUCAACCUUUCGAGUGGGGUUUUGGAGUUUUGAAGUGUGUCAAAACCUUGGGGAUUUCAAAAUUUUCGCUCUUCUGGUGUACUUUCUCGCAGGUAGGUUAACAUCGAUUUUGAUCAUCAUAAAAGGAUCGGAGGAAUGUAGCUUCGAUCUCGUAUUGAAGUGUUAUAGCCUUUGGUAAAUGUGAUGAUUAGGAUCGAGGAUUGCAACGAAUACCCUUUUGGGCUAUCCGCCUGAUCUCUGAUACGUGGCCUUGGUGUUGAAAGCGUGCUUAUGAUAUUAAGGUAUUACGGUCAAAAGGUUAGAACGGAUUACAUUCGUUAAGGAUGUUGACGUAAUG
rnacentral:rRNA from 1 species